AGCUGGGCAUGGUAGCGGGUGUCUGUAAUCCCAGCUACUAGGUAAGCUGAAGCAGGAGAAUCGCUUGAAACCAGGAGUUGGGGGUUGCAGUGAGCCAAGAUCUCGCCAUUGCACUCCAGCCUGGGUGACAAGAGCAAAACCCUGUCUCAAAAAUAAAAUUAAAAUUAACAUUAAAAAAAAGCACUUUCAUGUGAGGCAGGUGUAGCAGCUAUGCCUAUUGUUAUAAUUUAGGAAACUGAAAAAUAAAUAAUGGGACUUAAAUCUUACAGUAAGCAGUGAUGUCUAAACUAGAAUCUAGAUCCCCCAAAAUCUAGGUAUGAAGUGUUUUUAUUUAACACACCUGUAGGUAAUUCUAUAUAAAUGUAUUAUUUUUCUUUUUUUUUUCUGUGUUCAAGUAAAUGUGUAAUUAUGACACAGACAGAAUCAAGUACGUACAUAAAAUGUUAAAACAUGAAAAUGUAUAGUUCUUUUACCAUUUCCUUUCUGAACUCAUAAAAUAUAAUCAGAAAAAUUAAAAGAAACAUGUUUUAUUAUUGUAAACUUAUAUUUUAUUUAAUUAAUAAUGUUUUGGUGUGUUAGUAAUUUCUGUAAAGUAGCACUCCUUAAAUAAGUUCCUAAAAAUAAUAUUGGAGCCUUGAACAUUUAAUCUCAGCUAAAAAAAUUAUUCUAAAACUGUCAUGAUAAAAAAGGUUACAAAAUUUCUCUUUAUUCUAGUCCUGAAUUCCUUCUCCAGAAUUUUAAUACAAAACGAAUUUUCAGGCACAAAUAGUCACCAGAUAAUGCAUACCGUAAUUUAGCAGACUUAACCAAACAAUAAACACCCCUACAAAAGUGUCACUAUUUUAUCACUUUGUGCUGUACUCUUCUCCCUAUACAUCUUUAAUAGUGGUCACUUCUACUUUACUUCUAGCAUUCAAUUUAGACAUCUCAACCCCAAAUUUAAUAAUCUGUUUUAUCAAACAUUUGUUUUGAGAACAAAAUUUCUAUAAAUUAUCUGACAAAUCAAAGCAGAACCUUUAAUUGUAGAACACAAAUGAAAAAUAAUAUACAAGAAACCUUAUCUCUUCAACUUCAAGGCUAAUACCUGGGUGUUGGAAAACUGGCCAAAGAUAAAUAAAUUUUACUAUAUUUAUUUUUCUGCACUGGGUCAAGAUUUCUAUUAUAAAUGAUAUGUUACUUACGAUACUGUCGUUUCAAAAAAGGGCUUUCCAAGAAGCCUUUAGUAAAGUUCUUCUAUGCUGGGUAUGUACUUGGUUCCUGUAUGUUUUAAUCUGAACUAUUCGAGAAUUACUUAUUUGUUGAACAUAGUCUAUUAGAAAAAAAUACUAAAUCGCUGGGUGCGGUGGCUCACGCCUGUAAUCCCAACACUUUGGGAGACCGAAGCGGGCUCAUCACGAGGUCAGGAGAUGGAGACCAUCCUGGGUAACACGGUGAAACCCCG
rnacentral:lncRNA from 10 species